rnacentral:rRNA from 1 species
UGUAUAUGUAGGANGUUAUGAUGCGAGUUACUCUNUGUAGUAUUGCUUGUACAUACUUUUACAUUUAUUCGCAAGAUGUUGUCGGCGUGCACUUCUCCCCUAGUAGAACGUCGCGACCCGUUGGGUGUUGGUCUACGACCCGGGUGGGAGCCUUUAAUAUUUUNAUAAUAUUGAAGACCCUCGGUGUUUUCUGACCGGCUGCCCGGCGGUACUCGUACGGUAUUUAGCCGCAAUUUAUUU